UCGUUAAGUGAUGAUGUGAUGGACAGAGUACCAUGUCAUCACGCAUUGUCACAAGCAUCUUAUUGCCAUGUCACCACCUUCAAUGACGUGUCAGUGAUUGGGUGUGAUGACAUGACACUCCAUCUGUCACAUCAUCACUUAACGAAA
rfam:Glycine max cultivar Williams 82 chromosome 16, whole genome shotgun sequence.